CAAGGUUAAAACUCAAAUGAAUUGACGGGGGCCCGCACAAGCGGUGGAGCAUGUGGUUUAAUUCGAUGCAACGCGAAGAACCUUACCUGGUCUUGACAUCCACAGAACUUUCCAGAGAUGGAUUGGUGCCUUCGGGAACUGUGAGACAGGUGCUGCAUGGCUGUCGUCAGCUCGUGUUGUGAAAUGUUGGGUUAAGUCCCGCAACGAGCGCAACCCUUAUCCUUUGUUGCCAGCGAUUAGGUC
rnacentral:rRNA from 1 species